AGAGGUGGCAAGCGUUGUUCGGAAUUACUGGGCGUAAAGGGCGCGUAGGCGGUCGGGUAAGUCUCGUGUGAAAUCCCUCAGCUCAACUGAGGAACUGCACGGGAAACUGCCUGGCUUGAGUUCGGGAGAGGGAAGCGGAAUUCCGGGUGUAGCGGUGAAAUGCGUAGAUAUCCGGAGGAACACCGGUGGCGAAGGCGGCUUCCUGGACCGAUACUGACGCUGAGGCGCGAAAGCUAGGGGAGCAAACGGGAUUAGAUACCCCGGUAGUCCUAGCUGUAAACGAUGAGCGCUGGGUGUAGGGGGUCUCAACCCCUCCUGUGCCGAAGCUAACGCAUUAAGCGCUCCGCCUGGGGAGUACGGUCGCAAGGCUG
rnacentral:rRNA from 1 species